GAAAAUCUCUGAAGCAGACACCCAAAUCAGAGCCGAGCUUUGCCGUGACUCUCCAGAAGCUGAUGGGCCUGGUGUUUGAACUGAGCCUGUCAACAUGUGGAAAACACAGAGGUGAGAAAACAGAAUCUUAAAAUUAAGUUGUUGCAUAAGCAACUUUACCCUUGUCAUAGCAAGUCAGAGCAAAAGGCAACACUGAUGCAGUUCAAAAAAGUCACGGGACAAACACUUCCUUUGUAAUCAUAGAGAAAAAAAUUGUUCAUAUAGAAGCUUUUUAAAGCUCUCUUCCCAGGAUGUAGAUCUUGU
rnacentral:lncRNA from 1 species